GUGGGGAAUUUUGGACAAUGGGCGCAAGCCUGAUCCAGCAAUGCCGGGUGUGUGAAGAAGGCCUUCGGGUUGUAAAGCACUUUUGUCCGGAAAGAAAUCUCCUGGGUUAAUACCUCGGGGGGAUGACGGUACCGGAAGAAUAAGCACCGGCUAACUACGUGCCAGCAGCCGCGGUAAUACGUAGGGUGCGAGCGUUAAUCGGAAUUACUGGGCGUAAAGCGUGCGCAGGCGGCUAUGCAAGACAGAUGUGAAAUCCCCGGGCUCAACAUGGGAACUGCAUGUGUGACUGCAUGGCUAGAGGGCGUCAGAGGGAGGUGGAAUUCCGCGUGUAGCAGUGAAAUGCGUAGAGAUGCGGAGGAACACCGAUGGCGAAGGCAGCCUCCUGGGAUGACACUGACGCUCAUGCAUGAAAGCGUGGGGAGCAAACAGGAUUAGAUACCCUUGUAGUCC
rnacentral:rRNA from 1 species